rnacentral:lncRNA from 1 species
CCUUAGAUCGUAUAAUGGUGGAAGCCUUAUUUGUUGAGUUGAAAGCUACGAAUGAUCUCCACAUUUUCAAGUUCUCAAGGGCACAAGGAUGGCAAGAACUAGCUUAGCAUCAUGACAAAUAUCUUUUUCUUGAGUGCCAAACAAUGUUUCUUGCUGUCACUUCAAUUAUCAAAACAAGAUUGGAGAUUGUAUUCUUCCAUUUUUAUUUUUUAUUUUUUGUUUGUUUUUUUUGGGGGGGGGGGACUUCCUCCAAAAAGACAAUGAUAGAGAAUAUCGAAUCAUAAAAUUUUAUGUUACCAUAGGGUUUGAUCAUAAUUACUUGCUUUGUUGGUUUGGUUGAUUCCA